rnacentral:rRNA from 1 species
GACGAACGCUGGCGGCGUGCUUAACACAUGCAAGUCGAACGGAAAGGCCCUGCUUUUGUUGGGUGCUCGAAUGGCGAACGGGUGAGUAACACGUGAGUGACCUGCCCUUGACUUUAGGAUAACUUCAGGAAACUUGGGCUAAUAACGGAUAGGAACUCCUGCUGCAUGGUGGUGGUUGGAAAGUUUCGGCGGUUGGGGAUGGACGCGCGGCUUAUCAGCUUGUUGGUGGUGUAGUGGCUUACCAAGGCUUUGCUGGGUAGCCGGCCUGAGAGGGUGACCGGCCACAUUGGGACUGAGAUACGGCCCAGACUCCUCCGGGCGGCAGCAGUGGGGAAUAUUGCACAAUGGGCGGAAGCCUGAUGCAGCAACGCCGCGUGCGGGAUGACGGCCUUCGGGUUGUAAACCGCUUUCGCCUGUGACGAAGCGUGAGUGACGGUACUGGGUAAAGAAGCACCGGCUAACUACGUG